GCUGCCAUCUGCUCGAGGAAGUAGCUUCAGCCAUUGGAGGAGUUGGAGUAUCUUCUAGACAUUCCAGAACUGAUGUCAGAUUUGGCUCAUCAGAGUCCACAGACCAUAUCGGUGAAGAAGAUGAAUAGGAUUCCUGUUUAACCCAGAGACACCUAUGUUAAAUGUUUACAUACAGACUAACCCAAAUAUGCAAUUAAACCACACCACUAAAUGGCAAGAUGACCAUGGAUUUAAACAAAAUGUAUCAGGGGGAAAAGGCAACACGUUUAAACCCAUGUGAGGAGCUGGACUUCUGAGACAGCCAUUCUCCUUGCAUAGCACUGUCUGCUGCUACAGCUCAUAGAAGUCAACAAUUUUCUUCAACACUGGUAGGCAGCCUCUAAAUGGCCCUGAUCACCCUCACCUCCUGCCAUUCACACCCUUGUAAAAUUCCACCCCUGGACCUAGUGACUCACUUCUAACAAAGAGAAUACAGCAAAAGUAACAUCGCUUCUGAGGUGAGGCUACAAGGAGACUACGAUGCCUGCCUUGGUCACCCUUCUCCUGCUCUUUCCAUUGCUCCCUCUGAUGGAAGCCAGUUGCCAUGUGAUGAGGUGCCCUAUGGAGAGGCCCACGUGACAAGGUAUUGUAAAAGGCCUCUGACCAAUAGCCAUCUAGAAACGGAGGCCCAGUCCAGCAGCCUCUGAGAUGAUUCCUGCCAAUGUGAGCUUGGAGACAGAUUCUCUCCCUAUCCUGCCUUGGGAUGAUCACAGCCGCCAUCAACACCUUCACUGCCUGGUGAGAGACCAAGCCAGUGAACCCAAGAUAAACUGCACAGAAUUCUGACCCACAGAAACUGUGAGAUAAUGUUUGUUGUUUUAAGCUGCUAAAUUUGUUACAGAGCAAUAGAUAACUAAUUCAAACACCAUAAAAUUCUAACAUUUUAUUCUAUCACACAAACCAAGUAAUACCAAUAAAUGCCAUUACUAUACAUAUAUUUUUGGAACACAAUUACAUGUGAUUUUUUUUGAAAAGCUAAUGAACUAAGCAUUAUGUGCUUUCACCCACUAAUAGACAUUUACUCUGUUGUAGGAUUUUCCAUUAUAAAUUGGAGAAAAGCCAUUAUUAUUAUAUAUUAGCUUCAGAAGAACUAGGUUCAAGUCACGGAAAUCCAUGAACACCGUGGAAAACCAGAAAAACAAGUUGGCCGGGCGCGGUGGCUCACGCCUGUAAUCCCGGCACUUUGGGAGUCCAAGGUGGGUGGAUCACGAGGUUAGGAGAUCGAGACAUCCUGGCCAACAUGGUGAAACCCCUUCUCUACCAAAAUAAAAACAAUUAGCCAGGUGUGGUGGCACGUGCCUGUAGUCCCAGCUACUCAGGAGGCUGAGAGAGGGGAAUCGCUUGAACCCAGGAGGCAGAGGUUUCAGUGAGCUGAGAUGUGCCACUGCACUCCAGCCUGGAGAGAGAGCAAGACCCCAUCUCAAAAAAAAAAAAAAAAAAAAAAAGAAAAGAAAAGAAAAACAAUUUGUAUUGAAGGAGGACAUCAUUAACAGUAUAUCUCUUCAAUAAUGAUUUAUGUUACUAUUCUCAUUCCUCUCUCACAGUGUCCCAAAUCUCUUUACAGGC
rnacentral:lncRNA from 1 species